GAAAGGUACUUAACUGGUUUUGCGAUGUGUUCCUAAUAUGUACCAUGACUAUAUUGGGGACAUUUUGCAUGCAAAGUUUUGUAUCAGUAC
rnacentral:pre_miRNA from 1 species